CUAGAGAAGACUUUUUCUAAAACUCCUUGCCACAAUGCUGUGACAGCCUCCUACUCAUUCACAGACGUAUCUGGGGAUUGUGGGAGAGAAUGAUAGCCUAAUACCCAGCAGUGUCUGCCUAGGGAGGUGGGGUAUCCAAAAAGUCAAGAUGGCAGCUAUACCAAUCCAAGCUGAAACCAACUGAGCUUGCAGGCGAGGUGCUUCUUGCAAUUGGGAACUGGAAUGCCAAUUUGGGAAACGGGGCCAAAAAGGAGACAGGAGCGAUUCAUCAAGAUGAAAGAGCAAACAGCAUUUCUCUCCCCUUUUUUUUUCAUGCUCAACAUCUUUUUCCAUGAUAGAUAAAUAAAAAUGGAGAAGUGAAAACUAUGGCAUUAGAAAAGCUGUUUAGA